CUAGCCUAAGCCUAAACCUUAGGGUGAAACCUUAAACCUAAGUGAUCCCAACCCUAGGUUAAAACCCUAACCCUAAAUAGCGUGUAAGCUUAGACCUAACUGUAUAACUUUACAAUUCAUGAUAGGGUUUGAUUAUAAGGAAACUCACACUCUCUAGCAACACUGGUAUGCGAUUCAAAGUAUAAGGUGAUAAUUCUUCCCCUUGAGCUUUCCAUCUUCUCAUUAGCGUAAGUUAUAGUUUUUAUUUAAAUUCAUAAUUGAUAUCUCCCUUUAUAAUUACAUGUGUUAGCUGGUGAAAAUUAAAUUGUUGUAUUACAUGCUUUAUGAUUAUCCUGUAUAAUUGUUCAUGCUUGUGUUCUUUUCGUGGAUUGCUUAUGAAACUUAAACUGGUACAUUAGUGGGAAAUUUUCACAUAUGAAUGUACACCCAUACUUGGGAUGUAACUUGACUAGUUGUGAUUGUAAUGGACCUUUAACUUGGUGGUUAUUAAGUGAUGGUCUAGAUGGAUCAUUGAUGUGGGCCUACCAUCUAGGGUUGUUGUGCCCAAUGGUUUUUAAGGAUGGUCUUUAUCGUAUGGUUUUGAUAUUGGCCCUAUGUGGCAUAUUUUGAUACUUGCCCUACGUGGUUUUAUUUUGAUACUUGCCUUAGAUGGAUUCGAUGUUUUAUAUAGUGCAACCAUGCGAUGAUAAGCCCCAUAUAUUUAAUAUGAUUGGCCACUAGUCGACGGGAUACCAUUAAACAUCCUAAGGUGGUAGUCUCAUGAGCCGGGGAUGGUAGUAUGGGACCUAUGCCCGAGCUGUCGGCCUACGCUGGGCUAUACACUUCCCGUAGUGACCUUUGAGCUUAUUUAAAUUGGCUGGUUGCAAUUGGACUAAUAACGGAUUGGCUAAUCAUGCAUGCAUAGCACAGACCAGCAUCUAUUGCUGAAAUGCGUAACAUACAGAUUCGCCUGUCUGGAUGUUUUACCCAAGGCACCAAAUAUCAUCUAUUGUUAUCAUACAUUGCUGUCAUACAUAACAUACAAAUUCACCUGUCUGGAUGUUUUACCCGAGGCACCAACCACCAUCUGUUGUUAUCGUACAUAUUUAUCUAUCUGGAUGUUUUACCCGAGGCACAGACCGUCUGGAUGUUUUAUCCGGGUCGAUGACUGCAUGGGUGAUGACCCCUAUGUCCGUCUGGAUGUUUUAUCCGAGACUGAUUGCAUUCACGCAUCCAUGCAUCUAAUAAGACUGCAUUUACUUUGUUUUGGUUGUCUAGAUGUUUUAUACAAUUUCUUACCUAAUACGGCGGUGUGUAAUCUUGAGAAAAAUUCACACUGAGUUGGCCACUCAUCCAUCAAAUAUACAACCGUACAGGUAGCACAUGUGGCCCUGAUGAUGUUCACAUUCAUACUGGUGAGGAGCAGGCCAUGGUUGACAAUGGUGUAUGAUUAUAAUUGCUAAGGGUUGCUACAAGAUUUCACAGCUCAAGAUUGUUGCAAUUUACUUUGUUUCACAUGUAAUGUUAUUUCAUUUUGUAUUGAUAAGAAUGGAGACAUUGGUUUGUAUAAGUCAUUAUGGGCACUCCCUUAUAUACUCUAAAUGAAACUUGAAAUU